UACGGAGGGUGCAAGCGUUACUCGGAAUCACUGGGCGUAAAGAGCGCGUAGGCGGGAUAGCAAGUCAGAUGUGAAAUCCUAUGGCUUAACCAUAGAACUGCAUUUGAAACUGUUAUUCUAGAGUGUGCGAGAGGUAUGCGGAAUGCGUGGUGUAGCGGUGAAAUGCAUAGAUAUCACGCAGAACCCCGAUUGCGAAGGCAGCAUACCGGUGCACAACUGACGCUCAGGCACGAAAGCGUGGGUAUCGAACAGG
rnacentral:rRNA from 1 species